ACAUGCAAGUCAAGGAGAACGGAUCCUUCGGGAUACUAUUAAACUGGCGAACGGGUGAGUAACGCGUAGGCAACCUGCCUUGGAGAUUGGGAUAACCCCGGGAAACCGGAGCUAAUACCAAAUAAUGCAGCGGAUCCUUCGGGAUAUGUUGUUAAAGUGGGCUUCGGCUCACACUUCAAGAUGGGCCUGCGUCCGAUUAGCUUGUUGGUGAGGUAAUGGCUCACCAAGGCGAUGAUCGGUAGCUGGUCUGAGAGGAUGAUCAGCCACACUGGGAUUGAGAUACGGCCCAGACUCCUACGGGAGGCAGCAGUGGGGAAUUUUGCGCAAUGGACGAAAGUCUGACGCAGCAACGCCGCGUGAUCGAUGAAGCUUCUAGGAGUGUAAAGAUCUGUCGUGAGGGAAGAAAAAUCUGGAUGUAAAUAAUGUUCAGACGUGACGGUACCUCACAAGAAAGCACCGGCUAACUUCGUGCCAGCAGCCGCGGUAAUACGAGGGGUGCUAGCGUUGUCCGGAAUUACUGGGCGUAAAGGGUUCGUAGGCGUCUUGCCAAGUUGAUCGUUAAAGCCACCGGCUUAACCGGUGAUCUGCGAUCAAAACUGGCGAGAUAGAAUAUGUGAGGGGAAUGUGGAAUUCCUGGUGUAGCGGUGACAUGCGUAGAUAUCAGGAGGAACACCAAUGGCGAAGGCAGCAUUCUGGCACAAUAUUGACGCUGAGGAACGAAAGCGUGGGGAGCAAACAGGAUUAGAUACCCUGGUAGUCCACGCCGUAAACGAUGAGUACUUGGUGGUGGGGGAUUCGACCCCUUCACUAUCGGAGCUAACGCGUUAAGUACUCCGCCUGGGGACUACGGCCGCAAGGCUGAAACUCGU
rnacentral:rRNA from 1 species